UAAGUAUUACGCUGGCCAAAAAGCUUGUUCAGGUUUUUCCACUGUUACAGAAAAAACCCACAUGAACUUUUUGGCCAACCCAA
rnacentral:miRNA from 1 species